rnacentral:rRNA from 1 species
CUACGUGCCAGCAGCCGCGGUAAUACGGAAGGUCCGGGCGUUAUCCGGAAUUAUUGGGUUUAAAGGGAGCGCAGGCGGGAGUAUAAGUCAGCUGUUAAAUAUCAGGGCCCAACUCUGUUAUGCAGUUGAAACUAUAUUUCUUGAGUACGCACAGGGAUGGCGGAAUUCAGGGUGUAGCGGUGAAAUGCUUAGAUAUCCUGAAGAACUCCGAUCGCGAAGGCAGCCAUCCGGAGCGUAACUGACGCUGAGGCUCGAAGGUGCGGGUAUCGAACAGGAUUAGAUACCCUGGUAGUCCGCACGGUAAACGAUGAAUACUCGCAGUUCGGUCAUUAUGAUUGAGUUGUCCAGCGAAAGCGUUAAGUAUUUCACCUGGGGAGUACGCCGGCAACGGUGAAACUCAAAGGAAUUGACGGGGGCCCGCACAAGCGGAGGAACAUGUGGUUUAAUUCGAUGAUACGCGAGGAACCUUACCCGGGCUUGAAC